UACGUAGGAGGCAAGCGUUGUCCGGAAUUACUGGGCGUAAAGCGCGUGUAGGUGGUGGGACAAGUCUGCUGUGAAAGCGCCUGGCUUAACCGGGCGAGGUCGGCGGAAACUGUUCGACUCGAGGACGGUAGAGGGGGGGGUGGAAUUCCCGGUGUAGUGGUGAAAUGCGUAGAGAUCGGAGGAACACCUGUGGCGAAGGCGGCCCCCUGGGCCGGCCCUGACACUGAGACGCGAAGGCGUGGGGAGCGAACGGG
rnacentral:rRNA from 1 species